GACGAACGCUGGCGGCGUGCUUAACACAUGCAAGUCGAACGGUGAAGGGGUCUGCUUUUGUGGGCCCUGGAUGAGUGGCGAACGGGUGAGUAACACGUGAGUAACCUGCCCCCUUCUUCUGGAUAACCGCAUGAAAGUGUGGCUAAUACGGGAUAUUCUGGGUCUGUCGCAUGAUGGGUCUGGGAAAGAUUGCGCCUUUGGGUGUUUUUGGUGGGGGAUGGGCUCGCGGCCUAUCAGCUUGUUGGUGGGGUGAUGGCCUACCAAGGCGGUGACGGGUAGCGGGCCUGAGGGGGUGGACGGUCACACUGGGACUGAGACACGGCCCAGACUCAUACGGGAGGCAGCAGUGGGGAAUAUUGCACAAUGGGAGCAAGCCUGAUGCAGCGACGCCGCGUGAGGGAUGGAGGCCUUCGGGUUGUAAACCUCUUUCGCCAGUGAAGCAGGCCUGCUCCUUGUGGGUGGGUUGACGGUAGCUGGAUAAGAAGCGCCGGCUAACUACGUG
rnacentral:rRNA from 1 species